UGAGUGGUUUCUUUUUACUUCUUGCUCUACUGAGUUCUACCCUUUGGAAAUGGAAUAAAUUCCUCUUAGACUUGUUCUCUAUGAUUGGAGAAGGAAGUAUUAAAGGAAGUAAUAUAAGAAGGAUUACCUUCCUGGAAACCUUGGUCACCCCCAUUUGAGAGCCUCUCAUUUUAAUCUUCAUGAAUAUUCUGGAAACAUACAAGUAAAGUCCAACAUCUCCUCCUCAUCCAUCACUCCAGUCUGUAGCACAAGUGCCCUAGCUUGAGCAGUUGACUGAUUGUACCCGCCAGCUGGCUAAUAUCAUAAUUAACAAAGUUGCUACUAUAUCUGCAAAGUUUAAUCGAAAAAUUUGCCAGUGAUAUGAUGGCAUUGUCACAAAGAUCACAAGGGACGCGGAGUUGACUUUUGCUCAAGGUGGAAUGGCAAAGCCGUAUAGGCAAGAUGAGAAAUCGUGAACUUGUUCAGCCAAAGGUUAUGCUUCAUAUCACCCACCGGGGAGGAUCAUCUCUCAUGAAAACUUUCAAAUUUGAUUUUGCAAAUUAUUCAGAAAAAUUUAAGCCAUGCUAUCUCCCAAUGUAGGAAGGAAUACACUCUGGAGAUUCCUAUAAUUCAAAGAAAACGGACCUGGAUAACAUUCGGGUUCUCAUGCUACCAGAAUCCUCUUGAG